GGCAAGGUGGCCGAGCGGUCUAAGGCGUCAGGUUAAGGUCUACCUUAGCAGUCAGCUUUCCAAAGCUUCCUGAUCAUCGUCAGAUGGCGUGGGUUCGAAUCCCACCCUUGUCA
rnacentral:tRNA from 1 species